rnacentral:rRNA from 1 species
UACGUAGGGGGCAAGCGUUGUCCGGAAUUAUUGGGCGUAAAGAGCGCGUAGGCGGUCCGAUAAGUCGGCUGUGAAAGUCAGGGGCUCAACCCUUGAAAGCCGGCCGAUACUGUCGGACUAGAGUCCGGAAGAGGCAAGUGGAAUUCCCGGUGUAGCAGUGAAAUGCGUAGAUAUCGGGAAGAACACCGGUGGCGAAAGCGCUCUGCUGGACCUUAACUGACACUGAGGGACGAAAGCUAGGGGAGCGAAUGGG